UGCUUUCGUGGGUACUGAGCAAUACACCUGCCAUGGCAUAGCUGCGUCCCCUAGCAAUGCUAGAGUAUACGUGUAAUUUGCUAACAG